AAAUUGAAGAGUUUGAUCAUGGCUCAGAUUGAACGCUGGCGGCAGGCCUAACACAUGCAAGUCGAACGGUAACAGGAAUCAGCUUGCUGAUUUGCUGACGAGUGGCGGACGGGUGAGUAAUGUCUGGGAAACUGCCUGAUGGAGGGGGAUAACUACUGGAAACGGUAGCUAAUACCGCAUAACGUCGCAAGACCAAAGAGGGGGACCUUCGGGCCUCUUGCCAUCGGAUGUGCCCAGAUGGGAUUAGCUAGUAGGUGGGGUAACGGCUCACCUAGGCGACGAUCCCUAGCUGGUCUGAGAGGAUGACCAGCCACACUGGAACUGAGACACGGUCCAGACUCCUACGGGAGGCAGCAGUGGGGAAUAUUGCACAAUGGGCGCAAGCCUGAUGCAGCCAUGCCGCGUGUAUGAAGAAGGCCUUCGGGUUGUAAAGUACUUUCAGCGGGGAGGAAGGGAGUAAAGUUAAUACCUUU
rnacentral:rRNA from 1 species